rnacentral:snoRNA from 1 species
UCGACUGUACUCGAACAGGAUCAUUUAUGUAGUGAUUUCCUUUCAUUCACAAGAGUACUCUUGACAAAACUUCAAACCGUGAUGAGGAGAUGUAUACCCCACCCUAAUGGAGGUGUAGUCAGUACAGUUAUGUACUCGACUUCGAUGAUCCAUCCCCUAUGGGACUGGGGUGUGGGUAGUGCUGAACGGUU